rnacentral:lncRNA from 1 species
GUCUCACACGGGAUAGGCAAUCACUUGACUACUGACUGUGUCCCCAGCCAUUUGGUUUUUUGUUUUGUUUUGUUGUUGUUGGUGGUGUUUUGCUUGUUUGUUUGUUUGUUUGUUUGAGGCAGGGUCUUUUUAAGUUAUCUUUGCUACAGCCUAAUUUGCAGCUUCAACCUACCAAUUUGUGCCCAGGAACGAGGACCAGGACUGAGGAUGCCCUCUUUCUGCACAAUGCCUGCACAUGCAGAGUCUCUGCAUUUUGACACCCACAAGCUCCGCAGCUUCCCUCUCCUACUGUGACUCAUCAGCAUUCUCCUUUCCAGUGUUUUGGAGUGGGUGUUGAUGGAGGGGAACGUGGAUUUCCAGAUAGCAUCUCAUGCAGCCCAGCCUGGUCUUGAACUCAUUGUGAAGCCAAGGAAGGCCAUGAACUCCUGAUUUCCUCUUCUACCUUCCAAGUGUGGAGAUUACAGGUGCUGCAGCAGUGGCCUGGGUCAGAGGACGGGCUCCAGAUCAGAGGGGCAGAGUGGUUUGGAGGCCCCAUAGCUGGGAAGGAAUAUUAGCUGCUUCCCUGUCUUGCAUGGCAGCUUCUAGAACCAUGAAAGCAAGCCCUCAAGGAGAAGGCUUUCAGGCACACACACCUUUAAUUACAGAACUUGGGAGACAGAUUCGAGUGGAUCUCUGUGAGUUCAAGGCCAGCUUGGUCUGUAUUGCAAGUUCCCAGGCCAAGUAGGGCUACAUAAUGAGAUCCUGGCAAAAAGAAAAGAAAAGUAAGAAGGAAGAGGAGGAGAAGAAGAAAAAGAAGAAGGAAAAAGAAAAGGAGGAGAUGGGGAUAAAGGAGAAGAAGGAGAAGAAGAAGGAGGAGAAAGAAGAGGAGGAGGAAGAGGAAGAAGAGGAGGAGGAGGAGGAGGAGGAGGAAGAAGAAGAAGAAGAAGAAGAAGAAGAAGAAGAAGAAGAAGAAGAAGAAGAAGAAGAAGAAGAAGAAGAAGAAGAAGAAAGCAAGAGCAAGCUCCCUCCACUGCUUUGUGUUUUAAGAGAGAAUGACUGUUCAGUGUCCCUGGAAACUCACCAGAAAGCGAAUCAUUGUGAAGCAGCUCAUGUCUUCUCCAUAAAAAUAACGCUGCCUGCUGUUGAGACUGCCUUCUAGAGGAAGAAUUGGCAUGAGAAGCCAGGCGUGACUGGCGAUGGCACAGGAGCAAAGAACUAUAAACCUUUAUCGUCACUUCAUAUAAUAAACGUAUAAUAUAAUAAACUUAAUAUAAUAAACGUGCGCUCUGAUACCUUUUCAAAUGCCCAGAAAUGGAGAGCGCACCCUGAUUACACAGAAGGCCAUAAAAUGAACAUGCUGCACAUAAAAAAAUUAUACCGUUGUAUAAAUUUUCCUGAAGACUGAUGUAUUAUUUAUGAUAAGCAUUAAUUAAAAGAUUAAUUGCUAAUGUUCUCUGCCCUUGUAGAAGUUAGCAGAAAAAUUAAAGUAGCUUAAAUAUAUUUGGAGAUAAC